GAUGUGAUCCGGGCUACGCCAAGAGCUACCAAAUAUUUGAUGUUUGUUGGCAAAAAUUUAAGGACCCAUUUGAGAUUAAUUGAAGUCGUCAAAGCCGGCUGUUUAUAUGUUAGAGCCAUGGAAUUCAAGUUUAGUUCGAGCCGAGUCCGGGACUUCAACAAAAUUAAUAAAGCCAACCAAUAUGAUAAUUGAGCUAUGGGUUUCAUAAGGUUGACGUUCACAAGUCAGUUGAAUAGAAUUAUGUGUUGGGAAUGAAGAACUAAGCAAGCUGGAGGAAAUUUAUGGAAGCAAGCUGGAGCAAUGCAGAAUUUAAUUAUCCACACUUUUAUGCAUGCAAAAUGAUGGCUGAAUUUAUAAAAUAUAUAAACAUAUGGGCAGCUGAAGUUAGAUGAUUAAGAGGUUGGAAAUUGGAAUAAAUUCGCAUAAGGCAAAAGGGGGUAGAAUUCCCUGUCUUCAUGCAACUUGUUCGGCUUAAGGAAAAUCGAAG
rnacentral:lncRNA from 1 species